rnacentral:rRNA from 1 species
GUCUUUUUGUAUUAAAUAUAAAGUUUAACCUGCCCAUUGAAAUAUAAUUAAAAGGCUGCGGUAUAUUGACCGUACAAAGGUAGCAUAAUCAUUAGUUUUUUAAUUGAAAACUUGUAUGAAUGGUUGAAUGAGAAAUUGACUUUUUUUUAUAAAAUAUUGAAUUUUAUUUUUUAGUUAAAAAGCUAAAAUAUAUUUAAAAGACGAGAAGACCCUAUAGAGUUUAAUAAUAUUUUUUUAUUAUUAAAAAGGUUUAUUUUUAUUAUUAAAAAUAAAUUUAUUUUAUUGGGGUGAUAAUAAAAUUUAAAUAACUUUUAUUUAUAUUAAAUAUUUAUAUAUAAUUAUUUGAUCCAUUAAUAUUGAUUAAAAAUUUAAAUUACCUUAGGGAUAACAGCGUAAUUUUUUUUUAAGUUCUUAUUAAUAAAAAAUUUUGCGACCUCGAUGUUGGAUUAAGAUUAAACUUU